AAGAAGACUUUAGCACUGCGAGGGCCCUAGCGGGUGCUGACGAAAUGUGAUUUCCGCCGUCCUUUGAAUGUCAAAUUGAAGAAAUUCAAGCAAGCGCGGGUACACGGCGGGAGUAACUAAGAAUCUCGGCCUAUCAUCAGCCCUCCCAGGGAUUGAG
rnacentral:rRNA from 1 species